GAUGAACGCUGGCGGCGUGCCUAAUACAUGCAAGUCGAGCGAACAGACGAGGAGCUUGCUCCUCUGACGUUAGCGGCGGACGGGUGAGUAACACGUGGAUAACCUACCUAUAAGACUGGGAUAACUUCGGGAAACCGGAGCUAAUACCGGAUAAUAUAUUGAACCGCAUGGUUCAAUAGUGAAAGACGGUUUUGCUGUCACUUAUAGAUGGAUCCGCGCCGCAUUAGCUAGUUGGUAAGGUAACGGCUUACCAAGGCAACGAUGCGUAGCCGACCUGAGAGGGUGAUCGGCCACACUGGAACUGAGACACGGUACAGACUCCUACGGGAGGAAGCAGUAGGGAAUCUUCCGCAAUGGGCGAAAGCCUGACGGAGCAACGCCGCGUGAGUGAUGAAGGUCUUCGGAUCGUAAAACUCUGUUAUUAGGGAAGAACAAAUGUGUAAGUAACUAUGCACGUCUUGACGGUACCUAAUCAGAAAGCCACGGCUAACUACGUG
rnacentral:rRNA from 1 species